UACGGAGGAUCCAAGCGUUAUCCGGAUUUAUUGGGUUUAAAGGGUGCGUAGGCGGCCUGUUAAGUCAGGGGUGAAAGACGGUAGCUCAACUAUCGCAGUGCCCUUGAUACUGAUGGGCUUGAAUGGACUAGAGGUAGGCGGAAUGAGACAAGUAGCGGUGAAAUGCAUAGAUAUGUCGCAGAACACCGAUUGCGAAGGCAGCUUACUAGGGUGUUAUUGACGCUGAGGCACGAAAGCGUGGGGAGCAAACAGG
rnacentral:rRNA from 1 species